GGCGGCCGCCAUGUUUCCUGAACACAAAAUGGCGACACGUGGUUAGCAUUCGUCGCCAACGAGAAAUUGGGGUCGGCCCGAAAGCUCUAGAAUGCACCCCUAUUCCUCCCCGGGGCCAUUCCCGCUCAACGAGUUUUAUGACCUAAAAAACCCCACAGGCUGGUCUGAAGAGGAAGACACUUAAAGAUGAAGUGCUUAAUUCAAGGUCACAGAAUGUCGGGGAUGGACCUCCAGAUUUCCUUACUGACCUGCAUUAUCUUGUGGAUACCUGAGUGAAUUCCACACCACCCAUUUUAUAGAUGAAGCCACUGAGACGUGGAGCAACUGACUGAGUAGUCACUGCCCCACCCCUGCCUGGAGCCUCACACAUGACUUCUCUUAGUGACCACAGGUUGGUUGAGGGGUUUAACAAGGCUAAGAAGGUGAGACGUGGUCUUGUAACACAGUGGUUAAGAAUGUGACUUUGGAGCCAGCCUGCUAGGGGCUGAAUUCUGACUCAGCCAUUUAUUAACUGUGUGACCUUAGGUCAUAGAAUUUUCCACACUCCUUGACGGAGGUUCUUAACCCUUAUCCAUCAGCAUUCUCAGACAGCACCUCCGGUUAGGGACAGUAUCUGACCGUCCGACAUCCCUGCAGCCCCCAUGCUGUCACACAGACUCAGCCUCAGGUAGAUGGUUUCCGUAGAUGGUGGCUUUCUUUGGACCCUUGAUAUCAACCAGUUACUAUUUGCUCCUGCAACCACCGCUCUACUUUCUGUCUCUAUGAACUUGACUACUCUAGACACCUCAUGGGACCAGAUGUGCAGAGGUAAUGAAUACCAGGGAAUCAGGAAACCACUGGAUCAGUUCUUUGAGCCAUAGAACAACACUCAUCCCAGCAGCUGGGAAGCUAUCUGCAAAAGUCCAUCUGCAGAAAGGGCUUCCUGGUCUUGCGUGUGGCUGGGCCAUUUCUCUGGAUGCAGGUUUUUCAUUAUACAGUCUUCUCAAAGGACCACCUGCUCUCAACACCUUCUCGGUGACUCCAUUUCCCCUCCUCU
rnacentral:antisense_RNA from 1 species